rnacentral:rRNA from 1 species
UGGGUUUGAUCCUGGCUCAGAUUGAACGCUGGCGGCAGGCUUAACACAUGCAAGUCGAGCGGAUGAAGGGAGCUUGCUCCUGGAUUCAGCGGCGGACGGGUGAGUAAUGCCUAGGAAUCUGCCUGGUAGUGGGGGAUAACGUCCGGAAACGGGCGCUAAUACCGCAUACGUCCUGAGGGAGAAAGUGGGGGAUCUUCGGACCUCACGCUAUCAGAUGAGCCUAGGUCGGAUUAGCUAGUUGGUGGGGUAAAGGCCUACCAAGGCGACGAUCCGUAACUGGUCUGAGAGGAUGAUCAGUCACACUGGAACUGAGACACGGUCCAGACUCCUACGGGAGGCAGCAGUGGGGAAUAUUGGACAAUGGGCGAAAGCCUGAUCCAGCCAUGCCGCGUGUGUGAAGAAGGUCUUCGGAUUGUAAAGCACUUUAAGUUGGGAGGAAGGGCAGUAAGUUAAUACCUUGCUGUUUUGACGUUACCAACAGAAUAAGCACCGGCUAACUUCGUGCCAGCAGCCGCGGUAAUACGAAGGGUGCAAGCGUUAAUCGGAAUUACUGGGCGUAAAGCGCGCGUAGGUGGUUCAGCAAGUUGGAUGUGAAAUCCCCGGGCUCAACCUGGGAACUGCAUCCAAAACUACUGAGCUAGAGUACGGUAGAGGGUGGUGGAAUUUCCUGUGUAGCGGUGAAAUGCGUAGAUAUAGGAAGGAACACCAGUGGCGAAGGCGACCACCUGGACUGAUACUGACACUGAGGUGCGAAAGCGUGGGGAGCAAACAGGAUUAGAUACCCUGGUAGUCCACGCCGUAAACGAUGUCGACUAGCCGUUGGGAUCCUUGAGAUCUUAGUGGCGCAGCUAACGCGAUAAGUCGACCGCCUGGGGAGUACGGCCGCAAGGUUAAAACUCAAAGGAAUUGACGGC